rnacentral:rRNA from 1 species
AUACGGAGGAUGCAAGCGUUAUCCGGAUUUAUUGGGUUUAAAGGGUGCGUAGGUGGAAAGAUAAGUCAAGCCUGUGAAAGUUUGCGGCUCAACCGUAAAAUUGCAAUUGAUACUGUUUUUCUUGAGUGUAUUUGAGGUGGGCGGAAUUCGUAGUGUAGCGGUGAAAUGCUUAGAUAUUACGAAGAACUCCGAUUGCGUAGGCAGCUCACUAAACUAUAACUGACACUGAGGCACGAAAGUGUGGGUAUCAAACAGGAUUAGAUACCCUGGUAGUCCACACAGUAAACGAUGAAUACUCGCUGUUUGCGAUAUACAGUAAGCGGCCAAGCGAAAGCAUUAAGUAUUCCACCUGGGGAGUACGCCGGCAACGGUGAA